GUUCUUUGGGACAUCCGACAAAAUUGGAACGAUAUAUAAAAGAUUGCCAUGGCUCCUGCCUAAGGAUGACACGUAUAAACCUAGAAAUGGUCUGAAUUAAU